UACGUAGGGUGCAAGCGUUAAUCGGAAUUACUGGGCGUAAAGCGUGCGCAGGCGGUCUUGCAAGACAGAUGUGAAAUCCCCGGGCUCAACCCGGGAACUGCGUCCGAUACUGGAAGGCUUGAAUCCGGGAGAGGGAUGUGGAAUUCCAGGUGUAGCGGUGAAAUGCGUAGAUAUCUGGAGGAACACCGGUGGCGAAGGCGACAUCCUGGACCGGUAUUGACGCUGAGGCGCGAAAGCCAGGGGAGCAAACGGG
rnacentral:rRNA from 1 species